GCAACUGCCUCGGGGCCCUGGCCUCGCCCCCCACGCGUCACAAUGAAACAAGUCCGCCCUUGCUUCAAUGCCAUUGGUCUGUGCCUGGCCGGUCCUGCAGCAGGUUCCACCCUCUUGCGGGCGAGCUCUGGCUACCAUUGGACUGUCCGGCGCGAGGGGAAGGGUGAUCUAUAAAUAGGGAAUGGGUCCACGUGACAGUUUGGCAGCUGCUCCUACCCCUCCACCCCGCCCAACCUUCAGCUUCUGAGGCUGCGCAGGGGGAGAAAAGGGUUAGGGGGUCGAGCCCUGACUUCGCCUCCUCUUCCAAGAAGCCUUCCCACUCAGCUGUAAAACCAGACGGACGUCCUCCGAUAAAAUUGUUUCUACGUAGGGCCGGCUUCACCGGCUUGGAAUCCACUUAGAAGGGUCUUCGCGCUUGGUUGAAUGUUCUGCAAUUUCUGUCUUGAAAUUUUUAGUUUUUGAGCAAGGGACCCCUUAUUUUCACUUUGCACUAGGCCAAAUAUGUAGCCGGUCUUGCUGCUAAGAGUGUAAGAUCGAUUGCAUUCCAAAUUCUGGAAUUAUAAGACCCUGGGUGGAAGAUUCUAUGCUUUGACCAGAAGAGAGUCUAAGCAGCUUUUGUCUCCCAGGUACUAGGAGGCUGUGUGCUCAUCAUUCUUGCAUUCCAGGGGCCUUUGUUCUACGUUCUAAGGGGCUUUGUUCUCUGUCUUCUAUGAUGCUCUAUUCUCAACGUUCUCUGGUCCUAGGAGUCUGAGCCUGACAUUCGUUUCCAAGGCUUCCUGCUGUCUCUCCAGGCUCCGCAAGCAGGGCUGGGGCACCCUCAGGUGGCCAACCUGUGUCACUACGCCGAGCCGGCCUCUACCGACUUCCAAGACCUAGCUCUAAUAUUCAUACUCAUCUCUCAGACAGACGUUGGCUCCCUAAAAGCCAAGGCCCAGAAGAUCAUACGAGAAAUUCCCUCUUUUAUGAUUCCCCGUGCACGAAGUGACCUUCUGGUGGUGAGAUGGAGAGAAAUUGAUAGUGGCGAUAGACAGCAAAGUCUCCAGGAGCCAGACUUCCUCGGGGCUAUGUUGCCCAAACUGGACUCGAACUCCUGGACUCCAGCGAUCCUCCCACCUCAGCCUCUUAAGUAGCUGGGAAUACAGUCACCUGCCACCAUGCCCAGCUUUCAGGGCUGACCCUUUUGGGGUCAUAAACCCAAAGGCUCCAGGUCCCAGCCAAUGUCUUGGGAGGCUCAGCCCCUUCUCCUGGUCACCGCAGCCCUUUGGCACCCUCAAGUCCAGUCCCUUUCCUGGUCCCACCCUAGACAAGCCAAGUCUCACUCAGCCCCCCUAAGGUUCCAAGUGUCCUCCUUAGUGAUUCUGGGGCACUUGGUUUCCAGCCCAAGUAACCUAGUCUAGGCCUGAGUCCCAACCCACAGUUUACAGGACGGCUCCUCCUGUGGCCACACCCCUCCGGUUGGCCUGCCCCAGCACUGGGCUCCACCCCCAAGGUGCCAGGCGGUUUCCGGGUCCACCCCCUCUCGUGGCUCCGCCCACUUCUCCAACCCCACCCCACAACCCACCCGCCCAUGGGGUAGGCGGGCCCCAGGCACCUCCAGCUGAGAUGUGGCUCCAGGGGCUGGCCGGGUACAUGAAGGCAGCAUUCUGGAUCUGGUCAUUGAUGUCCUCGUCCUCGUUGAAAGGGAACGUGCCGCUGAGGCUGACAUACAUGAUCACGCCCACCGACCACAUAUCGAGCGAGCGGUUGUAGCCCUGGUUGAGCAGCACCUCGGGCGCCAGGUAGGCCGGCGUGCCCACCACUGAGCGGCGGAACGACUUCUCACCAAUGAUGCGCGCAAAGCCAAAGUCACACAGUUUCACCUGCAGAGGGUGAGGGAUGGAGGCUCUACCAGGUGAUGGAGCCGCACCCGCCCCAGCAUCCCCACCACGCUACUCUCCAUGGUAUUCCAGAGAAAGCUGAAUGCUGGUUUGAAUCCAGGCUCCUUGGCUCACUAGCUGAGCAACCCUGGGCAAGUAACUUCCCCCCCUCUGUGCCUCAGUUUCCCCAUCUAUAGGAAGAAGAUGAGCAGAAGAGUGCCUAUCUCAGAGGACUGCCAUGAUGGUUAGUGAGUUAAACCAUCCAAAGCCCACAGGACAAGAUAUGGCAUGCAGUUGGUGCACAAUAAAUGCUAGCUGCUGCUAUACCUCUGCCACCUCC